rnacentral:tRNA from 1 species
UGUAAUGUGGCUCAGUGGUAGAGCACUUGCCUAGCAUGCACAAGGCCCUGGGUUCCAUCCUCAGUACAACAU